GACGAACGCUGGCGGCGUGCUUAACACAUGCAAGUCGAACGGAAAGGCCCUGCUUUUGUGGGGUGCUCGAGUGGCGAACGGGUGAGUAACACGUGAGUAACCUGCCCUUGACUUUGGGAUAACUUCAGGAAACUGGGGCUAAUACCGGAUAGGAGCUCCUGCUGCAUGGUGGGGGUUGGAAAGUUUCGGCGGUUGGGGAUGGACGCGCGGCUUAUCAGCUUGUUGGUGGGGUAGUGGCUUACCAAGGCUUUGACGGGUAGCCGGCCUGAGGGGUGACCGGCGACAUGGCGCCUGAGGGACGGAGCAGAGUGGAACGGGAGGCAGCAGUGGGGAAUAUGGCACAGUGAGCGCGAGUGUGAUGCAGAAGCCCUGCGGGCGGGAUGACGGUCUUCGGGUUGUAAACCGCUUUAGCCUGUGACGAAGCGUGAGUGACGGUAAUGGGUAAAGAAGCACCGGCUAACUACGUG
rnacentral:rRNA from 1 species